UGAGGAACAUGACCUUCGGCGGGGGAGUAGCCGGCCCAACGGCCGGGUAAUACCGCGUACGACCACAUGGGGACAUCCCUGAGUGGUGAAAGCAGCAAUGCGCCGAUGGAGUGCCUCGCGGCCUAUCAGCUAGUUGGUGAGGUAACGGCUCACCAAGGCAACGACGGGUANCUGGUCUGAGAGGAUGGCCAGCCACAUUGGGACUGAGACACGGCCCAGACCUNUAACCGGGGA
rnacentral:rRNA from 1 species